rnacentral:rRNA from 1 species
ACGGGGUGCAGCAGGCGCGAAAACUGGCCAAUGCGCGAAAGCGUGAGCCGGCUAAUCCGAGUGAUCUCCCAUCGGAGAUCUUUUGUUAUGUGUUCACAGCAUGACGAAUAAUGAGAGGGCAAGACUGGUGCCAGCCGCCGCGGUAAAACCAGCUCUUAGAGUGGUGGGCAUGAUUAUUUGGCUUAAAGGGUGCGUAGCAGGACAGCGUAAGUCCCCCGUGAAAUGCCAGGUCUUAAGCUUGGCGCGGGCGGGGGAUACUGUGCGUCUUGGGACCGGGAUAGGUAUAAGGUAUGCAUUGGGUAGGGGUGAAAUCCGAUAAUCCAAUGCAGACCGCCGGUGGCGAAGGCGUUAUACUGGAACGGGUCCGACUGUGAGGCACGAAAGCUAGGGUCGCGAGCCGGAUUAGAUACCCGGGUAGUCCUAUGCUGUAAACGAUGCUCACUAAGUGUUAGGCAAUGCAAGACGUUGUCUAGUGCCGAAGGGAAACCGUUAAGUGAGCCGCCUGGAAGUACGUUCGCAAGAA